rnacentral:rRNA from 1 species
ACAGGAUUAGAUACCCCUGGUAGUCCACGCCGUAAACGAUGAAACUAGCUGUUAAGGGGCCUUAGGCCUUUGGUGGCGCAGCUAACGCAUUAAGUUAUCCGCCUGGGGAGUACGGCCGCAAGGUUAAGACUCAAAGAAAUUGACGGGGGCCUGCACAACGGUGGAGCAUGUGGUUUAAUUCGAAGCAACGCGCAGAACCUUACCAGCGUUUUGACAUCCCUUAUCGCGGUUACCAGAGAUGGUUUCCUUCAGUUCGGCUGGAUAGGUGACAGGUGCUGCAUGGCUGUCGUCAGCUCGUGUCGUGAGAUGUUGGGUUAAGUCCCGCAACGAGCGCAACCCUCGUCUUUAGUUGCCAGCAUUUAGUUGGGCACUCUAAAGAAACCGCCGGUGAUAAGCCGGAGGAAGGUGGGGAUGACGUCAAGUCCUCAUGGCCCUUACACGCUGGGCUACACACGUGCUACAAUGGCGGUGACAGUGGGCUGCAAUCCCGCGAGGGUGAGCAAAUCUCCAAAAGCCGUCUCAGUUCGGAUUGGACUCUGCAACUCGAGUCCAUGAAGGCGGAAUCGCUAGUAAUCGCGGAUCAGCAUGCCGCGGUGAAUACGUUCCCAGGCCUUGUACACACCGCCCGUCACACCAUGGGAGUUGGUUUCACCCGAAGGCAGUGCUCUAACCCGCAAGGGAGGAAGCUGACCACGGUGGGAUCAGCGACUGGGGUGAAGUCGUAACAAGGUAGC